rfam:Paenibacillus polymyxa SC2 plasmid pSC2, complete sequence.
GCUCCUUUAGCUCAGCCUGGUUAGAGCAAACGUCUUAUAUGCGAGAGGUCGCUGGUUCGAAUCCAGCAAGGAGUA